GACUCUAUUAUCUUCCAUUUGACACUGAUUUUGUAGAUUUUGGACACCGAAUACUUACCCAAACAUCAGUUUCAAAUGAGCCUAUAGACGCUGCAAAACAGGGUUCAAGAUUUCUGACCUGUCGAUACUAAAAUGCCUAUAACUCACUGUUGAAAAUUCUGAUUUGUACCAAACUGAUUUUAUUUGAAACUAGACUUGAAAAUUUUUCUUUCGACAUAUAUUUUGAAAAUUUUGGAAUUCAAUUGCCUACCCUAUUAUCUGUUGAAUCCGACCCUAUAAAUUCUGCAAAACAGUGAUUGUGUUUUUGACCUUGUGUUACCAAAUCAAAGGUAACUCCGUGUUGGGAACCCUGUUUCAUAUGAAAUUUGUUCCAUCAGAAUAUAGAUUGAUAUAUGGUUCGACCAUAGCUUUCUUACGGGUAUUGGAGCAUAAUUGAUAUUCUGAAGUAUUUGUUUGAUGUGCCACUGGAAUUCUGUCCGAAAUCGAGCUUUGGUCGAUUUCGCGUAUUCUGUUCCAUUCCUUUGGAUAUUUGAAUUCAUCUAACCUUCUUAUUGGAAUUGAGCUAAAUAUGAUUGCUUGGAAUCCUUGUACACUCUUGUUUUUAUUUCAUUCCAAAUCUGAAUACGUUUGUGAGAGAUUUGUUCUUUGUUUCGUAUUGUUUCGAAAAGGCACAUGUACGUUUUGUUGUUCCGCGUGUGCUUCCAAUAUAUGCUACUUAUUGUUGAAACUGCCCUCUUGUACUCUGGUGUGUGGGAUUGUCUGGACCUUUGCCAGAAAUGGUAAAGGGUAUGCGCUUAUUGCCCGCUAUGUGGGGUCCCGCUAUGUGGGAUAUUCUGGACCUUUGCCAGAAAUGGUAAAGGGUAUGCGUUUAUUGCCCGCUAUGUGGGGUCCCGCUAUGUGGGAUAUUCUGACUGAGAUCCCACUACACCUUCUAUAUGUUUGAUAUGACAUCCAGAGUUUUGGUGAGUUGUUUCUGUUCAUGCUCUGGACAAGAAUGAUAUGAUUGCAACGUCAAGGACGACGUUUGAGCUUCUGUACGAUAUUUGUUUUUGAUAUGCUCUAAAAGGCUUCAUUCACCGAUGAUUUUGCUUCGAAAUGUACCAUAUGUCGUUGAUAUGCUUCGGAACAUUUUAUAUGCCAUAGAUAAGCUC
rnacentral:lncRNA from 1 species